GCCGGCGUGGCGCAAUGGUAGCGCGUAGCUUUCCUACCAGGAUAGGCUGAAGUUGCGGGUUCGAUCCCCGUCGUCGGUU